rnacentral:rRNA from 1 species
GAUGAACGCUGGCGGCGUGCCUAAUACAUGCAAGUCGAGCGAACGGACGAGAAGCUUGCUUCUCUGAUGUUAGCGGCGGACGGGUGAGUAACACGUGGAUAACCUACCUAUAAGACUGGGAUAACUUCGGGAAACCGGAGCUAAUACCGGAUAAUAUUUUGAACCGCAUGGUUCAAAAGUGAAAGACGGUCUUGCUGUCACUUAUAGAUGGAUCCGCGCUGCAUUAGCUAGUUGGUAAGGUAACGGCUUACCAAGGCAACGAUGCAUAGCCGACCUGAGAGGGUGAUCGGCCACACUGGAACUGAGACACGGUCCAGACUCCUACGGGAGGCAGCAGUAGGGAAUCUUCCGCAAUGGGCGAAAGCCUGACGGAGCAACGCCGCGUGAGUGAUGAAGGUCUUCGGAUCGUAAAACUCUGUUAUUAGGGAAGAACAUAUGUGUAAGUAACUGUGCACAUCUUGACGGUACCUAAUCAGAAAGCCACGGCUAACUACGUGCCAGCAGCCGCGGUAAUACGUAGGUGGCAAGCGUUAUCCGGAAUUAUUGGGCGUAAAGCGCGCGUAGGCGGUUUUUUAAGUCUGAUGUGAAAGCCCACGGCUCAACCGUGGAGGGUCAUUGGAAACUGGAAAACUUGAGUGCAGAAGAGGAAAGUGGAAUUCCAUGUGUAGCGGUGAAAUGCGCAGAGAUAUGGAGGAACACCAGUGGCGAAGGCGACUUUCUGGUCUGUAACUGACGCUGAUGUGCGAAAGCGUGGGGAUCAAACAGGAUUAGAUACCCUGGUAGUCCACGCCGUAAACGAUGAGUGCUAAGUGUUAGGGGGUUUCCGCCCCUUAGUGCUGCAGCUAACGCAUUAAGCACUCCGCCUGGGGAGUACGACCGCAAGGUUGAAACUCAAAGGAAUUGACGGGGACCCGCACAAGCGGUGGAGCAUGUGGUUUAAUUCGAAGCAACGCGAAGAACCUUACCAAAUCUUGACAUCCUUUGACAACUCUAGAGAUAGAGCUUUCCCCUUCGGGGGACAAAGUGACAGGUGGUGCAUGGUUGUCGUCAGCUCGUGUCGUGAGAUGUUGGGUUAAGUCCCGCAACGAGCGCAACCCUUAAGCUUAGUUGCCAUCAUUAAGUUGGGCACUCUAAGUUGACUGCCGGUGACAAACCGGAGGAAGGUGGGGAUGACGUCAAAUCAUCAUGCCCCUUAUGAUUUGGGCUACACACGUGCUACAAUGGACAAUACAAAGGGCAGCGAAACCGCGAGGUCAAGCAAAUCCCAUAAAGUUGUUCUCAGUUCGGAUUGUAGUCUGCAACUCGACUACAUGAAGCUGGAAUCGCUAGUAAUCGUAGAUCAGCAUGCUACGGUGAAUACGCUCCCGGGUCU